rnacentral:tRNA from 1 species
UGAGUUGGGGCCUUAUGGAUUAGGUUUUUGGCCGUUAACCAAAAGAUAGCAAGAUCAAUACUUGUCAAUUCAG